GGAGGUGCUUCCGGCCUGGUGGUCGGCACGGUCUUCAAAACCGCUGCGUCGGGUUUCUGCCCGAUGGAUGUGUUCGAUUCGCAUGCACCUCCGCCA
rnacentral:tRNA from 1 species